rnacentral:lncRNA from 1 species
AGGUUCGAAUAAUCAUUGUAAAAGCACACCUGGAGUAUCAGGUUGUUGGUAGUUGUAUCUCUUAGAUUUUGUUCCAUCCAGCCAUUUGAAAUGUUAAGGUGUUCAUCUUUGGAAAAAUGAGUUUGUUGAAAACAUUUUUUGUUCAUAAUGCAUUUUUUGAAAUAACUAUGGUUUAGCGGAUUUCAUUUUCUUAUUAGCUGCCAGCAAAGUAUUUCUUUGGUGUCUAUGUUUGUGAUUGCCCAAACAUUCAACGGGAAAGAUACAGCAGGAGAAUUCAAGCUGUUUCAAUUAAAGGAAGCCCAUUGUAAAUUCAGCUAUGCAGUUGUCCAACUAUUUUUUUGGUGUAACACAUUGUGCUUGUGGCAUUUUCAAGUUGUCAGUUACCAUAGCGUGAUUUCAUGUUGUGCAAAACUGUUAAGCAAACCAUAUAAUUGGGAAGUGACCAUAAAGUCAUUCUAAUGGGCGACAGCUACUAAGAGCAUGGUCUCAUGGAAAAUAACAAUUCAUUUGGUUUACGUUUUGAUUUGCAAAAGGAUUUUAGCCAUAUCAGAAAGAAACGCCUCUACUGAAGAUCAAGAAACCUUUUAACAUAAAUUAUUUUGUGUUUGGAUUUCACUUAGAAAUUCUCCCAGAACCUUUUCAAGUAAAAACCUGUAGAAGGAUUGCACACAUUAAUAUUUAGUGUAAGUACCAUAACCAAAAAUGUUUUGUAUUGAUUUGUUUGUUUUGUUUUUUUAGGCUAAUAAUCAUAAUAAAUCAAGAAUGAGGUUUCAGAA